rnacentral:rRNA from 1 species
ACGCGUAAGAACUUGCCUCUUAGACCGGGACAACAUCUGGAAACGGAUGCUAAUACCGGAUAUUAUGGUUUUUUCGCAUGGAGGAAUCAUGAAAGCUAGAUGCGCUAAGAGAGAGCUUUGCGUCCCAUUAGCUCGUUGGUGAGGUAACGGCCCACCAAGGCAAUGAUGGGUAGCCGGCCUGAGAGGGUGAACGGCCACAAGGGGACUGAGACACGGCCCUUACUCCUACGGGAGGCAGCAGUGGGGAAUAUUGGACAAUGGACCACAAGUCUGAUCCAGCAAUUCUGUGUGCACGAUGACGUUUUUCGGAAUGUAAAGUGCUUUCAGUCGGGAAGAAGUCAGUGACGGUACCGACAGAAGAAGCGACGGCUAAAUACGUGCCAGCAGCCGCGGUAAUACGUAUGUCGCAAGCGUUAUCCGGAUUUAUUGGGCGUAAAGCGCGUCUAGGCGGCAAGGAAAGUCUGAUGUGAAAAUGCGGAGCUCAACUCCGUAUGGCGUUGGAAACUGCCUCACUAGAGUACUGGAGAGGUAGGCGGAACUACAAGUGUAGAGGUGAAAUUCGUAGAUAUUUGUAGGAAUGCCGAUGGGGAAGCCAGCCUACUGGACAGAUACUGACGCUAAAGCGCGAAAGCGUGGGUAGCAAACAGGAUUAGAUACCCUGGUAGUCCACGCUGUAAACGAUGAUUACUAGGUGUUGGGGGUCAAACCUCAGCGCCCAAGCUAACGCGAUAAGUAAUCCGCCUGGGGAGUACGUACGCAAGUAUGAAACU